AUUGAACGCUGGCGGCAUGCCUUACACAUGCAAGUCGAACGGUAACGGGCCUUCGGGUGCCGACGAGUGGCGCACGGGUGCGUAAUACAUCGGAACGUGCCCGAUCGUGGGGGAUAACGAGGCGAAAGCUUUGCUAAUACCGCAUACGAUCUACGGAUGAAAGCAGGGGACCGCAAGGCCUUGCGCUGACGGAGCGGCCGAUGGCAGAUUAGGUAGUUGGUGGGAUAAAAGCUUACCAAGCCGACGAUCUGUAGCUGGUCUGAGAGGAUGAUCAGCCACACUGGGACUGAGACACGGCCCAGACUCCUACGGGAGGCAGCAGUGGGGAAUUUUGGACAAUGGGCGCAAGCCUGAUCCAGCCAUGCCGCGUGCAGGAUGAAGGCCUUCGGGUUGUAAACUGCCUUUGUACGGAACGAAAAGCCUUCUUUUAAUACAGGAGGGUCAUGACGGUACCGUAAGAAUAAGCACCGGCUAACUACGUG
rnacentral:rRNA from 1 species